CCAUCUUGCACCGCCCCACCAUCUAUACUAUGUUAAUAACUAAGAAACACGGGGUCGGGAGGGGAUGGGAAUGAUCAUUCUGUGUUUAAAUUAUUCAGCAUUGAAAGAGUUAAUAGCACCGACUCAGCCCUAAAAGACACACAGGGCGAUCAGCCCAAGUCGAUACUUUCAGAAUGGCGUUCCUUUGUCUUUAUGGAAUAAAAUGACACACAGGGAGAAGCAUUCCAGCGUCAGAAUUAUUUAUCCCUCAGCUAAGACUCAUUUUCUUUACCCGCGAACUAUCUCCUAUCGCCUUCGCUCCCACUAACCCCCACCCUCAGGUCUGAGAAAUUAGCACAAUCUGGUCUGUGUAACCUAACCAGCGGAUAAAGUCGUAAAUUAACGAACUGCUUUUACGGCAGGCGUUCCCUUUUGCAACAAAAAAAACAAACGCGAAGUUAGUGGUAUUGGGGGGGGCUUUUAAUUUAUCUAUAAACAUAUAUUUCUUUACAAAAGAAAAAGGCAAGGAUUCAGAAAUGUUCUCCAAAGCGGCGCGUUAAAACCAUCAGGAGACCGGUCAGCAAGGUCCGAGAACCCGCCGGUGAGUUUGGUGUGAGUGGGUGACAAUGACUGAGGUGGGAAUAAAGUGGGCGCAUUUAGCUCGCUUGCUGCGUUCCCCAGCCCCCUACAUGGACGGCGCCACAGACUGGGCGCUGAACUCGGGGUAUUUCACACGGAAUACCCGGCAACGUUUGAGGUUGUGUUUAAAAGUGACAAAGAGGACUCAAGUUUUCUGAGGUGAAUUAAGCGAGACACGACAAGAAAAUUCGUGCGAAAAGAUCUUCAAGAGGAAAAAAAACACUGCCUUACCAGACAUUCUAGGAUUUAUAAUUGCCAGCUUGCUUCAAGAGAGAUGCUUUGAGUGGCUCCAGCAAUGAAACUUUCUCUUCAGAUUUGUUGAUCAGAAUGCAAUAUUUUAAAAUUUGAGACAAUGUGCUAAGUGCAGCACUGAAAUUUGAACAAUACACAAUCACAAUUAUUGCACUAUACCUUGGGAUAUAACUUAGAGUUUUGCAGCACUCAUGCCGACCUUUUUAAAACCUCUACAAUCCAAUGAUUUGACAAUGAAUGAUUGCGCGAUACUUUCAAUUUGAAUAUUCAAAGCCCAGACAAAAAGAGUGCUCUCUUUUUGAAACACUGUGCUUAUCCAUCUAUUAAAGACUCCAAUGGAAUAAAAUUCAGUAGAAAGUAUGGAACUUUAUGCAGGAUUGUGCACAUUUUUGUGAUUUUAGCAAGCUUUGACGAGUGGGGCCAGAGAGACUCAAACAUGUCCAUAAUUUUUGUCCUGCCUGCACAUUUUUGCCCCAAACCCCUGCCAACUCCACAUCCACGUUUGCCAGCGAUGCACUGCAGCCAGGGGUACACUUUAUAUCGAUGUUUUAUCGUGAAAAGUGGUAUUUGUCCACAAUUUGGUACCAAACAUGGCAGAUUGUGGGCGUGGCAUAGAGUAGUCCUUUAACCAAGCAUGGAGUGAGAAUUAAGACAGCAAACUGUUGAUCUCUAGCUACACUCUACAUCUAUUGCACUUUUACAGAAUUCUGGGGAAUAAGAAUUGUUUGUCACGAAAUUAUUUAAUUAGAGGUGAUGAAGAUUUCCUCCUCGCAAUGAUCCUGUGACAUUUUAGCAUCCCCACCCGUCUGAGACAUCUUUAGGUUUUUAAUUCAUUCUGAUUUUCUAACGGUUUAACUGCAUUACAAACAACUUAGACCUUUCCAGCGAAUCCCAAUGCAACCGAACAUCGUCCUUCAGACACCGGGAGCGAGAUUCUUCUGUCGCAGUGUCUGCCUUCAUAGUUUUUAAUUUUGUUAUGGUGCAUAAUUAAUAAAGCAAUUCUGUUUAUUUUUAUUCC